GUCGACCUUACAGCAAUUCAUCAAAUUUUUGGUCUAAAAAUAAACCCCUUUUUU
rnacentral:scRNA from 1 species